rnacentral:miRNA from 1 species
UCUUGAUCAAGAGACGGCUCUGGC